UACGAAGGGGGCUAGCGUUGCUCGGAUUGACUGGGCGUAAAGGGCGCGUAGGCGGCGGACACAGUCAGACGUGAAAUUCCUGGGCUCAACCUGGGGGCUGCGUUUGAUACAUGUUCGCUUGAGUUCGGAAGAGGGUAGUGGAAUUCCCAGUGUAGAGGUGAAAUUCGUAGAUAUUGGGAAGAACACCGGUGGCGAAGGCGGCGACCUGGUCAGAUACUGGCGCUGAGGCGCGAAAGCGUGGGGAGCAAACAGG
rnacentral:rRNA from 1 species